CAUUGGCUACGAAGGCAAAGUCCCUGCAGGGGAACAGGAUCCCACAGCCAGCCAUUAAACAGAACAUGGGGGAAAGGGAAGACACUGUUUACGGAGACACAGGAGAACAGUGUCUGGUACCUUCAUCCUUUUGGAAGUGCAAGUUGCCACCAGGAUUUCAUAGUCAUUUUCCAUGCCUGAGCAUGCAGAGCUGACAGAUGCAAUGCAAUAAAGAGCAGAUUACUGCUUAAUCAUGUGGGACAUUAGCUCUUGGCCUCUCGGUAUUCUGUGAUGCUUUUUGAAGAGGCACAGACACGUCUCCUUUUUCACCCAACUGUGACUUUUUGUUUCAUUUCAGCCAUCGGAAAUAACGUUAAUAUCCUUUCCCACCUGAGGCCAAGCCCCUUUUUCUGAGGUCAGACAUGAGAUCUUAUGCAGGCAGACUGUCUGGGUGAGGGGAAGGGAAGGGGAGGGGGACCCAGGGUGCAAUGCGCAAUCACUAAAUUCAGAUUGGCCUAAGGAGAAGUGGCUUCAGAGUCUCUGAGUCUCAGUCCCAAGCAGAGAGAUUCCUCACAGCUCCUGAGCCAGCAGUCACCACACCUCAGCACGAGAGACACGUACGACUUGUGUAUGUCCCUGCAUUCGGCUUGUAACAUAUUUAUAUCAGUAUUGGGUUUGUAUGUGUAUGCUUGCGUGUGUUCCUCUAUGUAUAGCAGUCUCAUCCACAACAAGAUAACAUAAAACAUCGAUAACUCACACAGCUUAACCUGAUGUACAGUGCAAGCACCAGGAGCAUGACUAUAUAUACAACUAUUCAUACAACUGUAUUGCUGAGACUGAACUAUUUAACAGAAACAUAUUUAGACUUUAUGGUCUAUUUUGUCUACAUUCUAAUACACAGAGCAGCAGUCUUUAUAUAGGUCAUGGCUCCAGUCGCCGUGAGUGUGGUGAUACCCCUGAAACGCCUCCUAGAUUUUGCAGCCUGUAAAUAAUUUAGCAGCAAACAUGGGAGUCAAAAGGAAUUGUGGAUGAGUUUCUCUGGGAGAGACUUGUGCUUGGGGAUCCUCUCGCAAGCUAAUCUGAUGGAAACACCCAGGAAGUGUCCCGUCACUGUGUCUCAGCCGCGCUGAUUCAUGCUCCGCUCCCCUGGUUCUCCUACAUGGGAUCAAACAGCACAAGUGGGUUUGGAAAAGAACACUUGCGGGUGUGUCUGCGGGGGUGUGUUAGUCAUAAGUCCAGUGUCUUCUAUCUACACUGGACCAUGUCAUUUUGACGGCAGAGUUUCUUCUGACUCAUUGUGUCUUCAAACAAAUGCAGAUAGACAAACAAUAAACCGGGUCUCUCAAUCUAUGAUUUAACCCAUUGAAUGUUUAAGUGAUUUAGAAUUAAAGGAAUUUAAGUUAUUCAGAAUUAAGUGGGUCAAACAUUCUGGUGAAGAAAUAGCGAUGGCUUACUGGUGCAGUGCUAGUUCAGCGCUAGCCCAGUGUUGCCAAUUGGCCACUGGCUACUUGAGGGGAGCGACAACGAAGCCCAUGACAUCAGAAAUGGCUGUUGGAGCUUACAGGGUUUGGAUCGGCUGAAUUUCAAUCACAAUCACUGGAGGCAUAGAGGCGUGGCUUAAUUCAGAGCAAUCGACUGGUGACAACGAACCACAGUUGAUCCAGAGAAUGCUACAAAGAGCUGGUAUGUUGGUGACAUGACACACACACACACACACACACACACACACACACACACACACAUAUCAGGAGAAUGCUCUGGACUGUGUGGAAAGAAAAAAGGACACUGGAAAAAAGGACACUGGUCACCGGACAUGCAUGGAGAAUAGAGGAAAGAGCAUAUACACCCCUAUAUAGCAUAUACACCCCUAUAGAGCAUAUACAUCCCUAUAUAGAGUAUAUACACCCCUAUAUAGAGCAUAUACAUCACUAUAAAGCAUGUACUAGGCACCUCUCAGGGCUUGUCUUAUAAAGCAAAUGUACAGAGUCCAUAGAAUGAAAGGAAAGCCGGUUCACCAGAAGCAAUGGAACAAGACAUACAGCAUCUACAGACUCUACAAACCCCAGUGCAGAAUGAUCAUUUAUGAGCAGAAAGCCGAAGUCAAUGCUGAGAGCCACGAUGCAGCUGCAGGCUGGCAAACCCAUGAAUGAUAUUGGCACUAAUAAAGUAUUCAGUGUUU